UUGAACGCUAGCGGCAUGCCUUACACAUGCAAGUCGAACGGCAGCGCGGGGCAACCUGGCGGCGAGUGGCGAACGGGUGAGUAACGUAUCGGAACGUACCCAGUAGCGGGGGAUAACUACGCGAAAGCGUAGCUAAUACCGCAUACGCCCUACGGGGGAAAGGGGGGGAUCGCAAGACCUCUCACUAUUGGAGCGGCCGAUAUCGGAUUAGCUAGUUGGUGAGGUAAAGGCUCACCAAGGCUUCGAUCCGUAGCUGGUUUGAGAGGACGACCAGCCACACUGGGACUGAGACACGGCCCAGACUCCUACGGGAGGCAGCAGUGGGGAAUUUUGGACAAUGGGGGAAACCCUGAUCCAGCAAUGCCGCGUGUGCGAAGAAGGCCUUCGGGUUGUAAAGCACUUUUGGCAGGAACGAAACGGCGCCGGAUAAUACCUGGUGUCACUGACGGUACCUGCAGAAUAAGCACCGGCUAACUACGU
rnacentral:rRNA from 1 species